rnacentral:rRNA from 1 species
AUUGAACGCUGGCGGCAGGCCUAACACAUGCAAGUCGAACGGUAACAGGAAGAAGCUUGCUUCUUUGCUGACGAGUGGCGGACGGGUGAGUAAUGUCUGGGAAACUGCCUGAUGGAGGGGGAUAACUACUGGAAACGGUAGCUAAUACCGCAUAACGUCGCAAGACCAAAGAGGGGGACCUUCGGGCCUCUUGCCAUCGGAUGUGCCCAGAUGGGAUUAGCUAGUAGGUGGGGUAACGGCUCACCUAGGCGACGAUCCCUAGCUGGUCUGAGAGGAUGACCAGCCACACUGGAACUGGGACACGGUCCAGACUCCUACGGGAGGCAGCAGUGGGGAAUAGUGCACAAUGGGCGCAAGCCUGAUGCAGCCAUGCCGCGUGUAUGAAGAAGGCCUUCGGGUUGUAAAGUACUUUCAGCGGGGAGGAAGGGAGUAAAGUUAAUACCUUUGCUCAUUGACGUUACCCGCAGAAGAAGCACCGGCUAACUCCGUG